AGUGAACGCUGGCGGUAGGCCUAACACAUGCAAGUCGAACGGCAGCACAGUAAGAGCUUGCUCUUACGGGUGGCGAGUGGCGGACGGGUGAGGAGUACAUCGGAAUCUACUUUUUCGUGGGGGAUAACGUAGGGAAACUUACGCUAAUACCGCAUACGACCUACGGGUGAGAGCAGGGGAUCUUCGGACCUUGCGCGAUUGAAUGAGCCGAUGUCGGAUUAGCUAGUUGGCGGGGUAAAGGCCCACCAAGGCGACGAUCCGUAGCUGGUCUGAGAGGAUGAUCAGCCACACUGGAACUGAGACACGGUCCAGACUCCUACGGGAGGCAGCAGUGGGGAAUAUUGGACAAUGGGCGCAAGCCUGAUCCAGCCAUACCGCGUGGGUGAAGAAGGCCUUCGGGUUGUAAAGCCCUUUUGUUGGGAAAGAAAAGCAGCAGGUUAAUACCCCGCUGUUCUGACGGUACCCAAAGAAUAAGCACCGGCUAACUUCGUG
rnacentral:rRNA from 1 species